rnacentral:rRNA from 1 species
GUGAACGCUGGCGGUAGGCCUAACACAUGCAAGUCGAACGGCAGCACAGUAAGAGCUUGCUCUUACGGGUGGCGAGUGGCGGACGGGUGAGGAAUACAUCGGAAUCUACUUUUUCGUGGGGGAUAACGUAGGGAAACUUACGCUAAUACCGCAUACGACCUACGGGUGAAAGCAGGGGAUCUUCGGACCUUGCGCGAUUGAAUGAGCCGAUGUCGGAUUAGCUAGUUGGCGGGGUAAAGGCCCACCAAGGCGACGAUCCGUAGCUGGUCUGAGAGGAUGAUCAGCCACACUGGAACUGAGAAAGGGUCCAGCUCCCUACGGAGGCAGCAGUGGGGAAUAUUGGACAAUGGGCGCAAGCCUGAUCCAGCCAUACCGCGUGGGUGAAGAAGGCCUUCGGGUUGUAAAGCCCUUUUGUUGGGAAAGAAAAGCAGCAGGUUAAUACCCCGCUGUUCUGACGGUACCCAAAGAAUAAGCACCGGCUAACUUCGUG